GACAGAGGGUGCAAACGUUGUUCGGAAUCAUUGGGCGUAAAGCGCGUGUAGGCGGUCCGGUAAGUCCGCUGUGAAAGUCGGGGGCUCAACCCUCGAAUGCCGGUGGAUACUGUCGGGCUCGAGUGCGGGAGAGGCGAGUGGAAUUCCUGGUGUAGCGGUGAAAUGCGCAGAUAUCAGGAGGAACACCGAUUGCGAAGGCAGCUCGCUGGAACGUUACUGACGCUGAGACGCGAAAGCGUGGGGAGCAAACAGG
rnacentral:rRNA from 1 species